GAGAUGAAGCAGUUUUUACAUGAACAAUUUAAAUUUUAAUCUGAAACCUAAUUAACAACUUAUCAUUUUACAUGUACAAUAUCUAUUUCUCCAUGCUCUCUUUAUAUUUGGACAUAUUUAUUUGUUAUAUUUUGGCCUGGUGGAUGGAUAUAAUUUAAGAUUCAUUUUAAAUGUUUACUGUGAGAUCACAGGGAAGUUCUUGCAUUCACAAAUGCACAGUUUAUAUGUUAAUAUUUAUAUAUUGCUCUUAUAAAACUUAAGUAAAUCCAAGAAUUAAAGCCGAUGCUUUUUAGAUAUGAAAAUGAACAUGAAUUCAGUCAGUGCGUCCAAACUUUUGACUUAUGAAUCCAUUGAUAUUAAUCAAAUGCUGCAACAUUAGCUUAUUAUUUAAUCUUUAAAAAACUAAAGAGAAAUGAUCUGAUUAUUAAAUUGAUUAUAAGUGAUUUGCAUUGAAAUAAAGGCACAUCAUGAUAUCUGCUCAUUAGUUUGACAGACUGCGAGGCUGCUGCACGCUAACUGAAGGGUAACACUCCUGCGCCGCACUGUGGAGUCUAGAGUUUUGCACGUUGCGAGCGAUUGGUCAAUUGUUUCCCGCUCUGGAAGGUGUUGUGAGUGAGGCUGUAGGUGUGUUCCUCUGAAGGGGCUGUGGACUGACUCUUCUUGUCUCCUGAAGGGGUUUCACACCCUUUUGGAAGGCAGCUGGACUCAAGGAGGCAGGACGAUCCUGUCUGUCCCUCCCCCUUCUCAGCCCUGCCCACCCAGUGUGAAGCUCCACCCCACGAAGUCAAGUGAUCUACAGCCGACAGUAAAACAAUCAACACUGACCCGCCAGACUCGCGCUGGAGGAUCAACUAAUGUCAAUUACACAGGACUGCGCUGAAACACACACACAGCCCGAGACUCCAAAGCAAACAGAAGCAGCACGUAAGUAACACACACACACACACACAUCUUCAGUCUCAGUGUAAUACAGAUGUAGAUUGACAGUUUGUGUAUCAUUAAAGGGAUGGAUGUUUCUGCAAA